rnacentral:lncRNA from 1 species
CAGGCAGCGAGAGCAGAGCAGCGUAGAGCAGCACAGCUGAGCUCGUGAGGCAGGAGACUCAGCCCGAGGAAAUCGCAGAUAAGUUUUUAAUUAAAAAGAUUGAGCAGUAAAAAGAAUUAGAACUCUAAACUUAAGCUAAUAGAGUAGCUUAUCGAAAUAUUACUUAGUCUUAAUAAUCUAAGAAGAUCUUAAGAGAUAACAUGAAGGCUUAUUUAAACAGUUUGAAAAAGGAAAUGAGGAGAAAAGUAUUUGUACUGUAUAAUGGAGGCUGACCAGAGCAGUUUAGGAGAUUGUAAAGGGAGGUUUUGUGAAGUUCUAAAAGGUUCUAGUUUGAAGGUCGGCCUUGUAGAUUAAAACGAAGGUUACCUAAAUAGAAUCUAAGUGGCAUUUAAAACAGUAAAGUUGUAGAGAAUAAUUAGAAAAUGGAAGUGAAAGACGAAGAAGACAUACAGGAAGGUGAAGAAAAAGCUGUUAGAGAAGAUAGGAAAAUAGAAGACAAAGCAUCUUUAGAAGACAGAAAAGGUACUUAAAGGCACAGGUAGUAGGAAGCCGAAGAAUAGAAGAUAGAAAGAAGCAAGAUAGAAAAACAAAAUGGAAGUUAAGACAACUUUGGAUGCCAGCAUUCAAGAUAGGCAAAGAAGAUAAGAUUGAGGCCAAAAGGUUGGAUAAGAUAUAAAGUCAGAAGGAAAUUAUCUUUAAAGCCAUAAGUUCAAAUUUCUGAUGGAGCGAGCAGUUUAGAAGAGUCUUUAGACAGCCACAUACAAGAUUGAAGCUAGCAAUCAAAGCUACUAGGACUGAAGUAAAAAGUUAAGGCAGAAUGCCUUUGAAGAGUUAGAAGAAUAUUAAAAGCCUUAACUUGUAGCUUAAUUUUGCUUGAUGACAAAAGGACUUUUGAUAACAGUUUCAAGAUUGUCAGCAUUUUGCAUUGGACUUGAGCUGAGGUGCUUUUAAAAUCCUAACGACUAG